CAAAUGGAUCCAUUUGGAUCCACUUUUAAAGACUAUGGAGAACAUU
rfam:Nipponia nippon contig27391, whole genome shotgun sequence.